rnacentral:sRNA from 1 species
UGCAACAUUGUCUGCCUGGGCAGAUCGUUU